GACGAACGCUGGCGGCGUGCUUAACACAUGCAAGUCGAACGGAAAGGCCCCCUUGUGGGGUACUCGAGUGGCGAACGGGUGAGUAACACGUGAGUAACCUACCCUUGACUGUGGGAUAACUUCAGGAAACUGGGGCUAAUACCGGAUAGGAGCUCCUGCUGCAUGGAGGGGGUUGGAAAGGUUCGGCGGUUGGGGUUGGACUCGCGGCGUAUCAGCUUGUUGGUGGGGUGGUGGCGCACCAAGGCUUUGCCGGGUAGCCGGCCUGUGAGGGUGACCCGCCACAUUGGGACUGAGGUGCGGCCCAGACUCCUACGGGAGGCAGCAGUGGGGAAUAUUGCACAAUGGGCGGAAGCCUGAUGCAGCAACGCCGCGUGCGGGAUGACGGCCUUCGGGUUGUAAACCGCUUUCGCCUGUGACGAAGCGUGAGUGACGGUAAUGGGUAAAGAAGCACCGGCUAACUACGUG
rnacentral:rRNA from 1 species